GGACGGGUGAGUAACGCGUAAAUAACUUGCCCCCUAGUCUGGGACAACUGUUGGAAACGACAGCUAAUACUAGAUAUUAUGAGACCUUGGCAUCAAGGACUUAUGAAAGCUAUAUGCGCUAGGGGAGAGAUUUGCGUCCUAUUAGCUAGUUGGUGAGGUAAUGGCUCACCAAGGCGACGAUAGGUAGCCGGCCUGAGAGGGUGAACGGCCACAAGGGGACUGAGACACGGCCCUUACUCCUACGGGAGGCAGCAGUGGGGAAUAUUGGACAAUGGACCAAAAGUCUGAUCCAGCAAUUCUGUGUGCUUGAUGAAGGCCUUCGGGUUGUAAAGAGCUUUAAGUAGGGAAGAAGAAAGUGACGGUACCUACAGAAUAAGCGACGGCUAAAUACGUGCCAGCAGCCGCGGUAAUACGUAUGUCGCAAGCGUUAUCCGGAAUUAUUGGGCAUAAAGGGCGUCUAGGCGGUUUAGAAAGUCUGAUGUGAAAAUGCGGGGCUCAACCCCGUAUUGCGUUGGAAACUACUAGACUAGAGUAUUGGAGAGGUAAGCGGAACUACAAGUGUAGAGGUGAAAUUCGUAGAUAUUUGUAGGAAUGCCAAUUGGGAAGCCAGCUUACUGGACAAAUACUGACGCUGAAGCGCGAAAGCUAGGGGAGCAAACAGGAUUAGAUACCCUGGUAGUCCUAGCUGUAAACGAUGAUCACUGGGU
rnacentral:rRNA from 1 species